rnacentral:rRNA from 1 species
GCAUAUCAAUAAGCGGAGGAAAAGAAAAUAACAAUGAUUCCCCUAGUAACUGCGAGUGAAGAGGGACAAGCUCAAAUUUUAAAUCUGUCGGGUUCUACCUGACCGAGUUGUAAUUUGAAGAGGCGUUUUCUGUGUUUCUGAUCAGUCCAAGUCCUUUGGGAUAAGGCAUCACGGGGGGUGAGAAUCCCGUUCGGUUGAUCAGAUUCGCUUUACGAUACGCUUUCAAAGAGUCAAGUUGUUUGGGAUUGCAGCUUAAAAUGGGAGGUAAAUUUCUCCUAGGCUAAAUAACGGCGAGAGACCGAUAGCGAACAAGUACCGUGAGGGAAAGAUGAAAAGAACUUUGAAAAGAGAGUUAAACAGUACGUGAAAUUGUUGAAAGGGAAACGAUUGAAGCCAGUCGUACCUUCGGGUAAUCAGCCUUUUGGGUGUGAUUUUGUGGAGCGUGAAGAGUUAAACGCCUUCAUGCCUGCAUAUUCGUGCACUUUGGGUGUACUUGCCCGUAUGGUUGGUUAACAUCAAUUUUGGUGGUCAUAAAAUGACUGGAGGAAUGUAGCUUCGAUCUUGUAUUGAAGUGUUAUAGCCUUCGGUAGAUGUGAUGAUCGAGAUUGAGGAUUGCAACGGAUACCCUUCGGGGCUACCUGUCUGGUCUCUGAUCG